AUCGAACGCUGGCGGCAGGCCUAAUACAUGCAAGUCGAGCGGAGCGGCUGACGGGCGAGUAAUGCCCAGGAAUCUGCCUGGUAGCGGGGCAUAACGUCCGGAAACGGGCGCUUAUACCGUACACCAUUAGCUUAGCCUUGGUCGGAUUAGCCAGUUGGUGGGGUAAAGGCCUACCAGGGCGACGAUCCGUAACUGGCCUGAGAGGAUGCUCAGUCACACUGGAACUGAGACACGGUCCAGACUCCACCGGGAGGCAGCAGUGGGAAAUAUUGGGCAAUGAGCGAAAGCCUGAUCCAGCCAUGCCGCGUGAGUGAAGAAGGUCUUCGGAUUGUAAAGCCCUUUAAGUUGGGAGGCGUUACCAACAGAGUAAGCGCCGGCUAACUUCGUGCCAGCCGCCGCGGUAAUAC
rnacentral:rRNA from 1 species